AAGCCCGGUGUCUAUCAGCUUGGUCUGGUAUGGAGCCUACACAUUACACAGCCAAAAAAAAAGAGACAAGGCAUUUGUCAAUAGCCAGACCAACAAAUGAUGCACUGCAUUGUAUUUUUCCCAAACAGAUGAAUGGGGCGUUUCUUUGUGGACACAUAAAUGCCAUGUGCCCAGGGCCCACUAGUUUGCAAGGAGUGAGAUUGCGCAGCUUUGCAGCGUGAGCGAGUGACAGCUGGUGAACAUGACGCUACCACCACCAAACUCGAGCAGUGCCACUCGGCGACAGUAUCAUCCUCAUCAUCAACUCGAACAACUACACGCGACGUGAUGUGUCCUGGGCGAUGAGGCUGAUCCAGCAUUGCCAGAUUGGGCAGCUACGGGUUAUGUCAUCAUCUCCUAGAUAUAUGGCACCAUCUCCACCAACCUCAUCAACAAGAUGAUGGACCCCACACCACCAUGCACUAUUUUUGGCUCACCCUCGAGCAUCAGUUCAUAACAACCGGUAGACUUGCUGCCUCUACCUCGACAUUGAGCUUAGGAAUUUCGUUCAGGGCAAUAUUUUGCAGGUUCAAGAGCAUGGCUGAUAUGACCUUGGCGAACACGUACAGAUCCUCAGUAUCUUUCAGUGUCUCAACAGAACAUUCUCCAUUGGUCUGCACCUACAAUGUGCAUGCCCCUUCCCCACCUUUCCUGAGGCAUGGGCUGACCUUCUUGAAGAACUCAUAAUGACACAUCAUCCCUCUACGCCCCCUCUGCCUAUGAUGCCACCACUACCAACAACUCCUUGCUGGCGGUCAACCUCCCAGUGGCACCAAAACUCCACCCCAGGGCUUCCCUCCUGGGGGUUACACCCAGCAAGCUGCCCAACCCCCAAUUUGGAACGGAGCUAGUGGUGGCCAGGGCGGCAGCACAUCGUCCGCUGGCUCAGGGUACAACACCAAGAGUGUGUCCAUGGGCUGCACGGCUGCACCUACACCCUUGUGGAUGGCUUCCUGGUCAUCCUUGUACAACCCAUGGGCAGGCUCCAUUCAGAUGUGGCCCAUGUGCUCCUAACGCUGGCCUAGCAGCAGCACGACCUUCUUCCCGGCACCCAGAGGCAUAUAGUGUGUAUUGGACAUUUGUCCCACAAGUACUGUGCUGGCCCAAUAGCUGGUUUGCACCAAGGUAGAUUGCUUAGUGGUUGGUGAUACACGAGGAUAUGGUCUUGUUUCUAUAAACUUAACAGUACAUAUCCUUGCCUAUAUUAUAUAUGUGUGUACCUUGCACCCUCAUAUUCAGUAUACUAAUCCUUUGUGUCAUAUUAUUGCUUACACUUGCCUUGAACUAUACCUAUAAAAUUAAAUUGCUGCACAUACAUUGGUUUUAGGAGUACUUGAUAUAAAAAUAACUUAAUACGGUGUCGCGCGCACAUAUACAUAAAGAUCAGCCAAUCAAUUUAUCUGUACGAGAAAUGAAUUAUAUCUAAGCUCAUGUUUCACUCAAAUGUCAAUCCAGAAGUAAUGGUUAUUUUAAGUUUGUAGCAAAACGCUGAAACCAUAAAAAACAGCCAUAUAUAGUAACUUCAUCAAUAUUACAGCCAUGUUUCUCUAACAGUUUCGCAGAGUUUCUUUAUGGGUUAUGAGUAAAGAGCCAAACAAACUAAAAAAAACUCGCCAACCAGUGGAUAAGACAGCCCCUAGGUAUUGUAUUAAGAAGACAUUCUCUCACGCAGGUCGAUAAAACCCCUGAACCCUAUCCCACCCAUACAUAGCAUCAUCAUAGUCCAUAUGAUAACGACCACAACCAGAGCCGGACUUUAGACCUAUGCUUUGAUGUGGGGCAGAUGAGAGAAUUUUUUAACCUCAGCGUAAAAUUCCCUCUCACGGAGAGUUAAACUCAUGACCUAAGGAGUGCUAUUCAGACUACCUAACCAACUCAGUUAGAUGUCCUUUCGUAAGAGCCAAACAAACU